GGAGAGUGUCUUUUCUGGUAAUGGCUCUAUCAGUUCACAUUUAGCCAAGAUAUCAGAUGGAGGGACUCCAGCAAUGAGGUUUGUCUCAAGUUUUGGUCUACCCCUAGUAAGCUUUUCGGAGACUUUAACUGAGGAUCCGAGGGUGUUAGGUGAAGUACCUGGGACAACGUCGUCUUUGAAUCUUUCAGCUUGCAAGCAGAAUUCUAUCCACUGAUGCACUACUGGUGAUGG
rnacentral:misc_RNA from 1 species